AUUGAACGCUGGCGGCAUGCCUAACACAUGCAAGUCGAACGGCAGCACGGUUGCUUCUUGCUGUUGUCGAGUGGCAAACGGGUGAGUAAUACGUCUAAACAGGUCCUGACUUUGGGGUUAGCCCGGCGAAAGGGGGAUUAAUGCCGAUAACGAUCACCACCUAAGGGUGGGGGCCGGGCAUGUUUCGCGCUCUCGGGUUGGCCUGUGGCGGAUUAGCUUGUUGGGGGGGUAAAGGCCUACCAAGGCGACGACGAGUAGCCGAACGGAGAGGACGACCAGCCACCCGGGAAGUGAGACACGGACCAGACGACUACGAGAGGCAGCAGUGGGCAAUGGUGGACAAUGGUGGGAAGCAUGAUACAGCGAUGCCGCGUGUGUGAAGAAGGCCUUCGGGUUGUAAAGCCCGCUUGUGGGGAAAGAAACGCUUUACGUUAAUACGAAGCGGGAAUGACGGUACCGGAAGAAUAAGCACCGGCUAACUACGUG
rnacentral:rRNA from 1 species